GACCAUUAUCUCAGUGGUGAAACAACUGAACUUCAUUUUCAAAGGAUUUCUUGGCAGAUUGGAUAACAGUCAGUGGUAUUACAUGCUGAGACAAUUUUUUAUACAUACAACAAAAAAUGAUGGAAAAUAUCUGGGACAUGGACUGUUGCCAAUAAACACUGAUGCUAAAAGCAUGCAUCCUCUGACCUUGGCUGGUCCAUCACCUUCUACACCAACUCAAACUUCCUGUACAUCUUAAGCCAAGUCCCUGUGGAGAUGAACACCAUAGGAAGGUACCACCUCAGAAGGCUAAACUGGCAGCUUCC